UAUCUACGAUGAUUUGAUCGACAUGUGUUGCAGUAAAGGGAUGGAACAUAGUCGAAGACCUUUAGUUCCUGUUCGUAAUGCUCAUGGCGCGGUAGAGAAGACCUUUAUUGAUCUUGAGACAUUUCAGUUUAUGCCUAAGAUCAAAGACAAUGUGAAGGGUGUGAUGUUUUACAUCUGAUCCUUAUAUAUAUGUUGUCUGAUGCUGCCUUAAAAAUAUUUCAGUUUUUGCCUAAACUAGAAACAUUGGGCUUUUUGAUGGAUAUAAUCUCUGUUUGAAGAGGUUGC